rnacentral:rRNA from 1 species
GACGAACGCUGGCGGCGUGCCUAAUACAUGCAAGUCGAACGCACUGGGGACGGGUGCGUAACACGUGGGUAACCUCCCAUCAGAGGGGAUAACACUUGGAAAAUGGUGCUAAACCCCAUACUGAUGGAUGAACCCGGGGGGCAUUAGGUAGUGGGUGGGGUAAAGGCUCACCAAGGCAACGAGGCAUAGCCGACCUGGGAGGUGGAUCGGCCACACUGGGAAUGAGACACGGCCCAGACUCCUACGGGAGGCAGCAGUAGGGAAUCUUCCGCAAUGGACGAAAGUCUGACCGAGCAACGCCGCGUGAGUGAAGAAGGUUUUCGGAUCGUAAAACGCUGUUGUUAGGGAAGCGGUAUCUAACCAGAAAGCCACGGCUAACUACGUGCCAGCAGCCGCGGUAAUUC